AAUAACUACAAUUGUAACUCCCACAAUAACUAGGUUAAUUAUGUGGUAAUUACAAUUGUAACUCCAACAAUAACUAGACUAGUUAUAGGCAUGUAAUUGUUAUGUAACUCCUUGUAACUCCAAUCUUCUUAACCAACACCACUAAUUGUUUGUGACACCAUAUAGUUAUGGGCUCAUUCUUGUAAUAACACUAAGAUAAGACUUAAACCUAAAAUGAGUUAUACUUAACUAUAUGGGCUUAAUUAACUCAAACUAAAAUAAAACAAUCUAAAAUACUUAAAACAACUCAACUAAUCUAGUCCAUACACAAGGCUUAUUCAU
rnacentral:lncRNA from 1 species